rnacentral:rRNA from 1 species
CAAAAGACUCUCGGCAACGGAUAUCUCGGCUCUUGCAUCGAUGAAGAACGUAGCGAAAUGCGAUACUUGGUGUGAAUUGCAGAAUCCCGUGAACCAUCGAGUCUUUGAACGCAAGUUGCGCCCGAAGCCAUUAGGCCAAGGGCACCCCUGCCUGGGUGUCGCACAUCGUUGCC